UACAGAGGGUGCAAGCGUUGUUCGGAAUUACUGGGCGUAAAGCGCGUGUAGGCGGCGAAGCAAGUCGGACGUGAAAUCCCUCGGCUUAACCGAGGAAGUGCAUCCGAUACUGUUUUGCUUUGAGUGCCGGAGGGGGUGGUGGAAUUCCCGGUGUAGAGGUGAAAUUCGUAGAUAUCGGGAGGAACACCUGCGGCGAAGGCGGCCACCUGGAAGGUUACUGACGCUGAGACGCGAAAGCGUGGGGAGCAAACAGG
rnacentral:rRNA from 1 species